GCCCCGUGGUGUAGUGGUAGCACACGCUUUAGGAGGUCCCAGGUUCGAUUCUGGGCAGUGGCA
rnacentral:tRNA from 1 species